GAAAGGGGAGAGUUCUUCAAGCUCUAGUAUGGAAAACAAUUUUGAAGUAGAUGAUCUUGUAUUUUUUGGUAGGAAUGAUUUUGGCAUUAUUAUUGGCAAGGAGAAAGAUGAUAGCUUUAAGAUCAUGAAAUAUGGAUCAGAGAGACCUGUGGUAGUGAGCGUUCAACUGCGUGAAUUGAAGCGUGCAUCUUUUGAUAAGAAGCUAUUCACUGUGAAAGAUCAGCUAACUAAUGUCAUUUCAAUUGGUGAUGUGGUUAGAGUUUUGGAUGGUUCCUUGAAGGAUAAACAAGGAUCGGUGAAGCAGAUUUACAGAGGUGUCGUCUUUCUAUAUGACCAAAGUGAACAGGAUAAUAAUGGUUAUCUCUGUGUCAAAGGUCAGAUGUGUGAAAGAAUUGCAAGCAGUGGUGGUGUAUUGAACGGGAAGGGAAGUGAACCCGGUCCCUCAGGUUUAGCAGAUUUCUCAUCAUCACCUAAAUCCCCUCUUUCGCCUGAGAAAUCUUGGAGAGCGAAGGAUGAUAAUAAUAGCUUCAAGCGCGGGGAUGACAAUGAAAUGUUUUCAGUUGGGCAGUCUCUGAGAAUCCGAGUGGGGCCUUUGAAGGGAUACCUUUGUCGUGUAAUAGCCAUACGACGUUCUGAUGUUACAGUAAAGCUUGAUUCCCAGCAAAAAAUUCUUACAGUCAAAUCUGAACAUCUUGCGGAAGUUCAUGCAAAGAGUUCUGUCGUAUCUCUUGGGGUCGAUGGUGACUCAUCAAAACCUUUUGACCUGCUUGGAACAAAGGAUGGUUCUGAUGAUUGGAUGGUUCAAGGGGCUACUGCCACCGAGGGUAACACCGGGAAUGCAUCAUGGGGUGCAUCUGGAGGUAGUGAUAGAACUGUUGCUGACUCUGGGCAAGAUGAUGGUUGGGCGAAAGCUACUUCUGCUGCUGCUGCCACUAGUGGUGCGUCUGAUGGCUGGGGCAAAAAGGUUGAAUCACAUCAAGAGAGCACUGAGAAGGUUACAGAUGGUUCCUGGGGCAGUUCUGUGCAAAAACAAGGGAAUAAUGAUGAUUCUGGAAAAACCUCAUGGGGCAAGCAGGACGGUGGAUCUUCUUGGGGUAAGCAA
rnacentral:misc_RNA from 1 species